rfam:Yarrowia lipolytica complete mitochondrial genome, strain W29
CAGAUGAUGGUCUAAUGGUAUGACGCGUGGUUUGGGGCUAUGCAAUCCUAGUUCGAUUCUAGGUCAUCUGA